AAACCCUCCGUCGUGUGUGGAAUCCCGGAGUGGCUUUCAAGCUGAUGAGUAACCCCUGCGAACACUGGGAAGCCCGUCAACCCAAACAGGCCCUGCUAUGGUGAUGCAUGUCAGCGAUGACGGAUGUGGAGGUGACCUAUGAGGACUUCAUCUCCUCUCGGCGGUCCGGCCGCAGGAACGCCAUUCACGAUAUCCCAGCAGCCACCGGAGCAGAGGGAGCCGCUGACCUGUCACAGAGUCUGGCACAGCUCAACCUCGACAAGUCAGGGGAUGAGGAAGAAAACACUGCUAAAGAAGAGGAGACUCAAGCGGAGGGCAGCUAAACUGACAUGUGUGGACUCAAACAACCGCUUCUUCUUGUCUCCCUGAUACCUGAAUGCCAUUCUCACUCACAGGCCAUUUGCACCGAAUGGCUGUGAACAGACACGGCAAAUCCUUUACUCCCGCCACCAGGACGUCAUUGCCAUGGCGACCACAGCGGAGUUCCCCUUUUGCACUUGGGUGUGUUUCGAUGUCCUUAAAAUGCCUUUCCGUAAUGGCUGCUGAUGUGAUAUGAGAUGGGAUGCAUGAACGCAGCAUGACUUCAAAAACAAAAGUCACUGUCACAGUCCUCGGAGGAAAGGUAGAGAAGAGGAAAGAGGCCAUUCAAGGUUUUUUGGGGCAGGCAAUAUUGUUUCCACUGAAUUAGAAAGUUGUCUUCCCUCCCCUCAUCGCCAGUGAUGUGGCUGAAACACUUCCAGGGAACCGAGGACAGUGUUCGGACAUGUACUCUUCCUCUGCUCUCCUUGCAUCUGCAUCUGCACACGUGUGCUCCCACUAUCAGUUCUCACUGUUGACUGUUCCCAAACUUCCUAAAUUAUUUUCUUGUUUAUUUGGGGCAGUCCUAGCCAUAUCAAUCUAUUGGAUGUGGUUGAAUUUGUUAUGUCACAAUGACGCUUCAGUGUUUUCCAAACUGAACAUCCCAAGUGAGGGUGGUAUUGGUGUUUUGUAUAUAAUGCAACAGUUGAGCACUUUUAGUUAAACAUUGAUUGGUCAGACAAGGCCUGUCAAAUUCAGGAUAAUCACAGCACAGCGUUUCGUCAGUAACACUAUUGAUCCGCUCUUUCAUUCUGUCAACACGUUUAAGACUAAAAUCGAAGCAAAAGGACAUGAACAGGCUAUGAACUCUUGAACUAAGUUCUGUUUCACUGGCUAGCCCUCUUGUUUUUGGCUUUGCUCUUCCACUCUGACCCGUGACCUAUUUAUUUUCCACCCUGAAUGAAACAUUAAAAAAAACAUUCAAAUUC